AUACGUAGGUGGCAAGCGUUGUCCGGAAUUAUUGGGCGUAAAGCGCGCGCAGGCGGUCCUUUAAGUCUGAUGUGAAAGCCCACGGCUCAACCGUGGAGGGUCAUUGGAAACUGGGGGACUUGAGUGCAGAAGAGGAAAGUGGAAUUCCAAGUGUAGCGGUGAAAUGCGUAGAGAUUUGGAGGAACACCAGUGGCGAAGGCGACUUUCUGGUCUGUAACUGACGCUGAGGCGCGUAAGCGUGGGGAGCAAACAGGAUUAGAUACCCUGGUAGUCCACGCCGUAAACGAUGAGUGCUAAGUGUUAGGGGGUUUCCGCCCCUUAGUGCUGCAGCUAACGCAUUAAGCACUCCGCCUGGGGAGUACGGUCGCAAGACUGAAACUCAAAUGAAUCGACGGGG
rnacentral:rRNA from 1 species